AGUAAGAGUAUAAUUUGGUAUGCCUCAGCUGUCACCAUUUUAUAAGUGGCUCAUUCUGUUCUUAAAGUAAGUAUUUUUAUUGGAACUCAGGGUAAUUGGGGGAAUUUAUUUAGCUUCUAAAAUAUCCGGCAGGAUAGAGAAGAUUUAUUUGGCUUCAAAAAUGUCUGGUGACCACUUCUCUUAUUAGCCACUACUGCCCAUUUGCUUCAAAAAUAUAUUUAUUGGUCUCCACCAUGUGUGACACACACAGGAUUUCCAAACAUACCACUUUUGAGAAAAAUGUGCAGUAAAAAGGAGGUUUCUAGAAAGUGACAGUAACUCACAUUUAAGCACUAGCUGACCUAGGAGGAGACCUGGAUCUUCAUUCUGGUUCUGCCUUUCAUGAGACUUAAGACUUGGAGGAGCCACCUGUCCUGUAGACCCCAAGUUCCUCAGCCAUAAGCAAACGGGUUAAUCCUAAGAGUUCAGGACCAGUUGGGUGUCGUGAACGGAGCCAUUAGCAAGGUCUGUAGGAUUCAAGGACUUGGGCACAUUCACAGUCCACACUAUUGUCAUGGUCAUUGACUUACUACUUGAGCUCAAAGCCCUGACAUUUCAAAAGGUUGUCAUGAUAACAGUGAAACCUCUGAAUCCCUUAAAUCAGAAGGCAUGGCAACAUACUUUUUCUACUGGCAAUAGCUCUUACAAUGAGUGUUUCAUAAUGAA
rnacentral:lncRNA from 1 species